GCCGAUUUUUUUUGUCCCAGUCCGCCCCUGGAUGUGACUAACGGCGUUAAAAUAAAACGGCGUUGCUAAGGGCGUUAUUUUUUCAUUGACGGAUAAUCUAAUUGUUUCCACGCCGUUACCGACGAUUUGAUGUGGUGAAAAGUAACGCGCUCACCACUGGUCUCAGAGGAUCCAACACUGAAGAAGAGACGUGACACCAGUUUUUUCAGUUUACGGGUCAUUCAGUGAAACCCAUGUUAAAUGUUGAGACAGAAUAUCUAACGUGAUUUGGCAUGAAAUAUAGGUUACAUGUGAUGUGACAGGUAGUUUGAAAUGUAAUGUUAUUGUCUGGGCAUUUUUACAGCAAAGAUGACAGAGAGAAGGAGAGGGAGGAGAAAAACUCCUGAUCAGGAUGCUAUUGACCACAUUACCAUUGGAGAAGACAAAUCUUUCCUGGAAGGAAGAUUUAUUAACACACAUAAAGGGAGAGGUGUGCUUACACAAGACUACAUUGAACCAAAAAGUUUUGUGGUGGAGUAUCGUGGAGUUUUGUCUCUGAGCGACAGUGCAGAUGACAAAAACAGCAAAUAUGCAUUUGAGUUCAUGUGGAAUGGGAAGCACUAUUGCAUAGAUGCUUCAAAAGAGGACGGAACACUGGGACGACUAGUGAACGAUGAUCACAUACAUCCCAACUGCAAAGUCAAGAGGAUAAUGGUCAAAGGAAGGCCACACUUGUGUCUAUUUUCCAUCAAGGAAAUCUUUCCAGGCGAGGAGAUAACAUUUAACUAUGGCCAUGACUCUUGGCCAUGGCGCUCAGUGGCACCCUGUGAAGAACCAUCUGACCCAAACUUGACGAAAAGUGAGCCAGUCUCAGAAAAGG